CCGUUGUACACACCGCCCGUCAAACCAUGGGAGUAGGUUGCACCCAAAGACGUAACGCUGCGUCAAUGCGGCUUGUGUUUAAGGUGUGGCUUAUGACGUGGGGUU
rnacentral:rRNA from 1 species